AACGAACGCUGGCGGCAGGCCUAACACAUGCAAGUCGAGCGAGGGCUUCGGUUCUAGCGGCGGACGGGGGAGUAACGCGUGGGAAUGUUCCCUUCUCUACGGAAUAGCUCUGGGAAACUGGGAGUAAUACCGUAUACGCCCUAUUGGGGAAAGAUUUAUCGGAGAAGGAUCAGCCCGCGUUGGAUUAGGUAGUUGGUGUGGUAAUGGCCUACCAAGCCGACGAUCCAUAGCUGGUGUGAGAGGAUGAUCAGCCACACUGGGACUGAGACACGGCCCAGACUCCUACGGGAGGCAGCAGUGGGGAAUCUUAGACAAUGGCGGCAACCCUGAUCUAGCCAUGCCGCGUGAGUGAUGAAGGCCUUAGGGUUGUAAAGCUCUUUCAGCUGGGAAGAUAAUGACGGUACCAGCAGAAGAAGCCCCGGCUAACUACGUG
rnacentral:rRNA from 1 species